CCCCAUCCGCCGCCCAUCCGAUCCUUCCCGGUCCAGCUGCUUUCCAGCUGGAUUCUCCUAGGUCUCUCCGAAAGUGUCAUCUCCUCUGGGCCGGCGAAUCUUGUAACCCAACUCUGUACCCAGGAUGCCCAUGGGAACCACCAGAGCACCUGCGGGACAUCUGAUGAGGAGUGAAAGGCCAGACAUCUGCUCAGCUCUGGGGAUGGCAAACAUCACAGAUCUGGAGAGGCCAGCCACCUUAUUAACCAGUGCCUGGAGGUCAGAAACGCAGAGAAACUGCGGCUACACCUUUCUGGAUUCCAGGCAGGUGUAUAAAACAGUGGCUUGGAGGAAGACCAACUGACAUGCGCCUUACAAUGGAUGACACUAGACGCCAACGAAAUAAGGAUGGCACAAGUAGUCCAUCUGAGGAUAACAACAAGAAGAGCUCAAGAGGCCAAGCCAAUAAGCUGGGGCCAAGUGAAGAAGACACUUAACAUGGCAGAAGAAUCCCUGCGUCAAGGAAAUCUACCUGUUAAUCCUCAAAACCUACCCGUUGCCACCUUCACUGUCAUCACCCUUGUGGGAACUGGGGCUAAUGGGGAACAAUAUUGGGCUUUCAUUCCUAGACCUCCAUUAUUGAGAGCUAUGACCUGGGAGGAUAAACUUCCAUUAGUAUAUGUUAAUGAUACGCAGUUCCUCCCACAUCCAAAAAUGUCUACAUUAGCAGAUAUGCAUUUAGAGGGUGCCCCUUAUCAUUACACAGGACAAACGGUACACAUGCCUUUUUAUCUUACCCAUAAUGCUACAAUUUCCCCCUGGUGUGUGCCUAUGCAUAACCAGGUCUGGUUGAUAGAAACUCCAAACGGGAAAAGGAGAAAUGUCACUAUGUUUUUGCUAUCGAUAAGUAUUUACAAAGGAAGAGAGUCACUAGAUGAUAAAUAUGCUAAGCCCCCCGAAAAGCUUUGUAAAUAAGCCCUUUCUUGGAUACAGGGAGAAACAGAAUGGAAUGAUUGCAUAAUGAAUAUACCUUGAGUUUUUUCUAUGCACAACACUAGGGUAAUAAAUUGGGGGCUAAUGGAGAUUUUAGAUCUGCUGAUAACAAAAUUCUUAGGCUGAGAAAAUGGCAAGGGGGCUUUCAGACAAAUUCUAGCUUGAAAAUACACUGGCAUGCUUUGGGAUUGGCUGGCCCACAACUAAAAAUUGGAAAGGGGCCACUGCAAAAUACUCAAUGGAAAUUAGCUGCAGCCUUACAAAGUGUUUCCCUAAGGUAUGUAAAUUAUACUUACGGUAAACAAAUGUACACUUUGGAUAUCUCUCUUGUUCAUUCUAGCUGGAUUCAGACUUGUGUCUUUGCUCCUGAUGUGCUUAUGGUAAUUCUAGUUCUCAGAUACAUCAUAUUCAAUGCACAAAUUGUUAUUUACAUCAUUGUAUUAACAGAUAUAACAGGCAUCAAUCUAUUAUGAUUAUGUAUCAACCUACUGCAAUCUGGCUACCUGUAAAUCUUACCGAACCUUGGGAACAAAACCCCACAUUACGUAUGUUACAUAAUCUAUUUCAAAAGAGGGGAAAAAAUGAUUGGUUUGAUUAUUGGAGCUACAUUUACUAUUAUUGGAAUAAUAACUUCGGUAGCUACAUCUGCUACGGCCCUGUCUGAGGAGGUUCAAACCCACACUUUUGUAAAUAAUCUUGUUCAAAACUCAUCACAAUUGUGGCAUGAGCAACAUUGCAUAGACCUGGCCUUCUGAGAUGAAGCGGAUCGUUUGAAAGGUGCAAUUUUUUGGAUGGGCAAAGAAUUGGAGAGUAUACACACCCAAAUGGAACUCCCUUGUCAUUAUAAUGUAACUACUUACUGUAUCACUCCUCUUAAAUACAAUAACAGCCUUUACAAUUGGAAAAAAAUUAAGGCUCACGUUUUUGGGAGCGUGGGCUGGACAUAAUACUACACUAGAUAUGUUGGCUUUAUAAAAGGACACUCAACAAUUUAGUUCUAUGCGAUUGGACACAUGUAAAGGUCAGAUUAUUAAAAGUAUUUUAGCAGGAUUCCAGGCUUUUGAUCCUCGCACCUGGUUUGAAAAUCCAAGUAGUUCCUUUAUUAUUGUUCUAAUUGUCACUGUAUUCACAUUUUUUCUUUGUUGUGCAGUCUGCAGGAUUGGAUUGAUCCACAGAAACCAAAUGAACACUCUGCAAUCAAAAUUUGCUAUGACGGUUCUUAUACAACAACUAAAUAAAAAAGGGGGAGAUGUUGGAGACCACUGAACUGCUGAACUCUGCAGAAAGCAAACUUGGUGUGUGCAAAAGCAUGAUAAGCCGAGGAAUGCUUGUGAUGGCAAAAGCCAGACAAGCUUGUCUGCCGACUCAGAGUGCAGGGUCUCCAGUCAAAAUAAAAUAAGGGGCUUAUGUGUUAACUAUGUUGUUUCUUUAGGCAGCUGCGCUAUAUCCUAGGUGUAUACAUCUGUGACUUUUAAUGCUAGUAGUCUCCCUAAAUCUCACUAAGAGAUAGCUUCGACACUCCCUAUGCCUGCUCUUGCUCACUAAUCUAAACACGUCUCUUUCCCUAAUAAAAGUCUUAUGGGCUAAGCCUAGGGGCCUUUGUUCCACGGAACAGAGUGCCUCCUGGUCCCCCACUUUUAAA